rnacentral:rRNA from 1 species
AGCUCCAAUAGCGUAUAUUAAAGUUGUUGCGGUUAAAAAGCUCGUAGUUGGAUUUCGGCGGCCAGGGGGCGGUUCGGUGUUUGCCGUUUACUGCCCCAUUUGGCCGUGAUGUGUUGUGCCGGAGGUCCGCGGGUGCUCUUAACCGGGUGUGCGCGGGCGCCGGCAGGUUUACUUUGAAAAAAUUAGAGUGCUCCAAGCAGGCUUUUGCAGGCCCGAAUAUCCGUGCAUGGAAUAAUGGAAUAGGACGUCGUUUCUAUUUUGUUGGUUUUCGGAAAUCGACGUAAUGAUUAACAGGGACAGUCGGGGGCAUUAGUAUUCAGACGACAGAGGUGAAAUUCUUGGACCGUCUGAAGACUGCCUACUGCGAAAGCAUUUGCCAAGAAUGUUUUCAUUAAUCAAG